rnacentral:misc_RNA from 1 species
AGCAGCCGCGGUAAUUCCAGCUCCAAUAGCGUAUAUUAAAGUUGUUGCAGUUAAAAAGCUCGUAGUUGAAUUUCGAGAUCAAAUUGUUGGUCGUGCCUUGGUACGCACUGGCAUUAUUGGUUUCUCCCUUCUGACGAACCAUGAUGUCAUUAAUUUGGUGUCUUGGGGAAUCAGGACUGUUACUUUGAAAAAAUUUAGAGUGUUUAAAGCAGGCUCACGCUUGAAUACAUUAGCAUGGAAUAAUGAAAUAGGACGUUUGAUUCUAUUUUGUUGGUUUCUAGGAUCGACGUAAUGAUUAAUAGGGAUAGUUGGGGGCAUUAGUAUUCAAUUGUCAGAGGUGAAAUUCUUGGAUUUAUUGAAGACUAACUACUGCGAAAGCAUUUGCCAAGGAUGUUUUCAUUAAUCAAGAACGAAAGUUAGGGGAUCGAAGACGAUCAGAUACCGUCGUAGUCUUAACCAUGAACUAUGCCGACUAGGGAUCGGAUGAUGUUAAUUUUUUAAUGACUCAUUCGGCGCCUUA